UGUCGCUCAUCAUCCUGCUUGACAUUCGCUUUGGGUGUUGUUUCAACGUCAAGCUGUUUAGGCCACAGAUGUUUUGCAAAUUGUACUGGUGAGGGGUGUAUAUCACUGUGUGAGGGAACUGAUUGUCGGACUGAGUGUCACGCCAAAGCUUGUCAAGCACACUGUGCGGGCGCUGGUUGUCACUCUGCGUGUUAUGGUCGACUUUGCACUCACAGCGAUGGUACUCCUACUCCUUAAUAAAGAUAUUUAUAACAG